GAAAUUUUAUUCAAGUGACCUGCACACCCAACGUGGGGCUCAAACUCACAACCCAGAGAGAUCAAGAGUCACGUGCUCUACCCACCGAGCCAGCCAGGCUCCCCUAAAACCUACCGCUUUGAGUUCUUAUCUGAGAACUCAAGGUCUCAAGAGGCAAUUUCUACGGUUUGCCUUCUUUCUCUUGCUUCUCUUCCUUUACAAUCCUAGAAUAUUGUGAUUGAAUGAUGAACCCGUGGUGUGAAGGACAGCCAGGCUGGAGAUGUUGUUUCUCUGAAGAUCUUUCACCUUCUCCCCCAGCAGGCAGCAGAGGGGCGCAUCACCUCUAAUCCUUGACGAAGCUGGUUUGCAGCUGGUUCGCCCUCAGGGAAAGCCUCAAUCUACAGCUAGUUUGCUCACACUGCUGUGCUGCAGACGUCCGGGGCUCCUACCUGCGACCUUGGGCGAAUGCUGUUCUGCUACAAAUACUCCAUCAUCACUGAAAGGUGAAAUCUACAAUUUCCAGAUAAAUCACAUUUUCUUCCUCCUGUUUUUCUUAAAAUAAGGUGGGGGGGGGGGUCACUGGUGCAUAGCUGAAGUUUUCUUUUAAUACCCCCCGGGUAAGUCUGACUGGAUAUCAAAAGCUCUUGCUAGAAGCACGGGCAAAAGAUUGUCUACCUGGAGCUGAACACUCAUCACGCCUGUCCAAGGUCCGAGAAUUUGAUCAAGUUGGAUCCAGUUUCCUGCUGCACUGUCCCGUCAGUUAACUCACCAUGGAAAUUAUCAAGUGACCAGUUUUCCAGGUGCUGGUCACUGAUACAGAGGCGGAGAGCCCAUGGGAACCAUUUAACACUCCUCAUUUAUUCUGGGGAAUGCUGAAAGUCAGCAGUGGUGCAGUUAGAAGUGAAAACGGAAGUCUUAGUUACAAUGAUACUGGCAGUUUUCCCCGAGCGAGCGUCACCGUGUGAGCAGCACGCAGUUCCCCGGUGCUGUACGGAGCAUAACCUAUCUAGUCCCCAUAACAACCCCGAGACAGUGUAGGUUAUCAGCACCCCUGCUUGCAGGUGAGGACACUCAGGCACUGAAAGGCUGGUCUGACUUUCCAAGGGGCCCAGCCCUGUGACUGGGAGGGCCAGCACUCAGGGCCAGGCAGUUUGCCUCCAGAGCCCUCGUGUUUGGCCAGCCUGCCAGCGCGCACUGAGAAGCCUUCACCAAGAUUUGCCGUCCCCUCCUGGCUCAGCCUCCCUGAUGUUGAAAAGAAAGAGAAGGUUAAAAGGAAGGCCUACUUAACACUGGCAACUAAUGGACGGAAUGAAGAAGAGAAAGAACAAAACGAUUUAGUCCUCCCCAGAAACAGACUCCAUGGCUCCCGGGAUGAUGCAAUCACAUCUCCCAACGGAAGUAUUUACUAAAUCUUGAUUCUUUUUAAUGGUCUGAACAAGGAAGUUCCCUAGAGAGGCUCCCCAAAACAAACAAAAACAAAAACAAAAGAAAACAAAUCCCGUCAAGUGUGCCUUUUAUGUUCAAAGUGUGGAGCAGACAGCUGAGGCCCUCCCACCUACUUAAUGCCUCAGGGCAGGAGGGAGUGCGCCUGCAGUGACAAGGGGGACGGAGGAGAUCGCAUAAAAAUGAGACAAAAAUCAUGCUUCUCAAAGCUCAUUAAGGAACACAGCACUUUCAUAGUUGGCCACAGCCAUGUACCUUUAUCACCGAUUACCGAAGAGUUUCCAUGAUUUGAUUUACAGCUUCUACUUAGUAAAUUUCUUUGUAGACUCAAUUGUAUAUCAGCGUCAUAACGGAAACUCCACUAGGAAUAGCCACAGGCAGGAUGUAACUAGAACGUAAAAGGAGAUAGUAGUGUUGUGACAGUCAAUGAGAGAGGUAAUGAGCCGAGCCCAGGAGCCUCCCUCCACAAGCCUUCCCUUGAGGCAUGGGCACAGGCAGCCUUCAGAGGAGCCCAGAGCCACGCUGGGGCUGGGUGAUCAGUGCAUGAAAACCCUGGCCAACCAGGACGUGGAAUGGUUCUUCGUUACCAGCCAAGGGAAAACCCGACAGUCCUCCUCUCCAUGAUCACAGCUCAGGGGAAGCAGAGACAUCAGUACACACACAGGAGCUGCUGGUGCUGGGGACGGACGAGGUGGACUAAAAUGAAUCUAAUGCUGAGCGAGAUUUCAGGGCCUUGAAAGAAAAAAGUCUUAUGUGUAAGGGGUUCAGGAAGAUUGCGGUGUGGGCAAGGUAAUGAAGAACGGCACAUUGAUAGGUUGGGAAAUAAACUGGACUGUGAUUUGGUACUGCUCCCGUGGAAGGCAAGUUUGCAGGACUUCCCCAAAUUAGCAGCAUAUGAACACUAUACUACAGUCAUUGCACUUCCAGUUCUGUACGCUGUAGAAAUACCUGCACAAGCGGCCAAAAAUAUGUGUACAGGAAUUCGUAAUCAUAAAACCAUAAAACCAACUUAAUUUCAAAAGCAAUAUGGAAGAGGUUAAAUACGUAUCACACAUACUGUGGAAGAAAUGCCUCUGUCAAACAAAUGCAGAGGACAAUGAUGAUGAGGAUCCACUGAUCACAACAUUAUUGAUAGAGCAAUGCCCAAAUCCAGGCACUCCCUGGGGACGGGACACCAUGGUUGGCCUCCUACUCCCCAUGAAAAAGAACUGAGGCACAUCAACACCAAAGGCUGGCGAAGAUGGGGGAACAACAGGAGCUCUCACUUACUGCUUGGUGAGAACGCAAAAUGGUACAGCCACCGUGGAAGGCAGUCUGGCAAUUUCUCACAAAACUAAAAAUGUUCUUAAUAUAGCAGCCAGCGUCCGGGCUCCCUGUUAGCCAGAGAAGUUGAAAAGUUAUGCCCACACAGAAACCCGCACACGGAUGCCUACGGCAGCUGUACUCACAAUUGCCAAAACUUAGAAGCAACCAAGAUGUCCCUUACAGGUGGAGGGAUAAAGGAACUGUGACACACACACACACACACACACACACACACACACACACACACACAAUAUGAAGUAGUAUUUCAGCACUAAAAGGAAAUGAGCUGCCAAUCCACCAAAGGACAUGGAGGAAUCUUAAGUGCGUAUUAGUAAGUGAAACAGGCCGAUCUGAAAAGGCUACAUACUGUGUGAUUCCAACUACACGACCUUCUGGAAAAGGCAAAACUAUGGAAACAGGAAAAGGAUUCGUGGUUGCCAGAAAGGGGGCGCAGAGGAUGUUUGGGCUAGUGAAACUACUUUGUGUGAUACUUACAACGGUGGACACAUUUCCGGAUACGUUUGUCCAAACCCACCCUGCAAGAGUGAACCCUAAUGUAAACUAUGGACUUUGGAUAGAUUCCUGAGUUGUCACAAAGGCACAAAGGCACUGCAGUGGGGGGUGUUGACAACCAGGCAGGCUAUUUGUGUGUGUGUGUGUGGUGGGGAGGGCAGGAAGGGUGUGGGCAAUCUCUGUCCCUUCCCCUCAGCUUUGCUGUGAACCUAAAAUGCUCUAAAAAAUGAACGAUUAGCAUUUUUUUUUUUUCAAAAAAAAUGUCAGCCCCCGGACCAAUUUUCCCAAGGCAAGCAGUUUGAACAAUGAAGGCAAUCAUGUUUAGAAAU